UAAGGAAUAUUGGUCAAUGGACGCAAGUCUGAACCAGCCAUGCCGCGUGAAGGAUGAAGGUCCUCUGGAUUGUAAACUUCUUUUAUCUGGGACGAAAACGGGAUUUUUAUCUCAAUUGACGGUACCAGAGGAAUAAGCACCGGCUAACUCCGUGCCAGCAGCCGCGGUAAUACGGAGGGUGCGAGCGUUAUCCGGGUUUACUGGGUUUAAAGGGUGCGUAGGUGGGCUUAUAAGUCAGUGGUGAAAUCUCCGAGCUUAACUUGGAAACUGCCGUUGAUACUAUAGGUCUUGAAUUAUCUGGAGGUAAGCGGAAUAUGUCAUGUAGCGGUGAAAUGCUUAGAUAUGACAUAGAACACCAAUUGCGAAGGCAGCUUACUACAUAUAAAUUGACGCUGAGGCACGAAAGCGUGGGGAUCAAACA
rnacentral:rRNA from 1 species